rnacentral:lncRNA from 1 species
AAUGGGCAUUGGAUUCUUGGCAACUAAAAGGUUAAAAGUGCUAGUAGAUGAAGAUUUAGGUAAUCUCAUCAAGUUGCAUGUAUUCAAAAGCUGAACAUAGGAAGAAAGGACACUGGAAGAUUGCAUGGCAAAAUUGCUAUCUUCAAGAUGAUGAUUUUCUCGCUUUAGUCAUGGCCAACCGCAAGUUGAUACUAGAAUAUCUUAUCUAGAGGCACAAUUGCUUGGCCCUUGGUCUUUUCUCUCGCACUUGGUGGAGCGUGGAGCCAUCUA